rnacentral:rRNA from 1 species
UACGUAGGGUGCAAGCGUUAAUCGGAAUUACUGGGCGUAAAGCGUGCGUAGACGGUAGCGUAAGUCAGAUGUGAAAGCCCCGGGCUCAACCUGGGAAUUGCAUUUGAGACUGCUCUGCUCGGGUGCGGAAGAGGGAAGCGGAAUUUCCGGUGUAGCGGUGAAAUGCGUAGAUAUCGGAAGGAACACCAGUGGCGAAAGCGGCUUCCUGGUCCGACACCGACGUUCAGGCACGAGAGCGUGGGGAGCAAACAGG